AGUGAACGCUGGCGGUAGGCCUAACACAUGCAAGUCGAACGGCAGCACAGUAAGAGCUUGCUCUUACGGGUGGCGAGUGGCGGACGGGUGAGGAAUAAAUCGGAAUCUACUUUUUCGUGGGGGAUAACGUAGGGAAACAUACGCUAAUACCGCAUAAGACCUACGGGUGAAAGCAGGGGAUCUUCGGACCUUGCGCGAUUGAAUGAGCCGAUGUCGGAUUAGGUAGUUGGCGGGGUAAAGGCCCACCAAGGCGACGAUCCGUAGCUGGUCUGAGAGGAUGAUCAGCCACACUGGAACUGAGACACGGUCCAGACUCCUACGGGAGGCAGCAGUGGGGAAUAUUGGACAAUGGGCGCAAGCCUGAUCCAGCCAUACCGCGUGCGUGAAGAAGGCCUUCGGGUUGUAAAGCCCUUUUGUUGGGAAAGAAAAGCAGCAGGUUAAUACCCCGCUGUUCUGACGGUACCCAAAGAAUAAGCACCGGCUAACUUCGUG
rnacentral:rRNA from 1 species